AUGGGUAUCCGGGAUUUUAACGAAAUCAUGUAUUCCCAUGAGAAAGAAGGCGGCAAUGCAAGACCAAAUGCAAUGAUGAGAGAAUUUCGUAAUUGUUUGGGAGACUGUGGCCUGGAAGAUUUGGGAUAUAUUGGGGAUCCUUUCACUUGGAGGAGAGGAGCAAUUAGGGAGAGACUAGACCGUGCUGUAUGUAAUGUGGAAUGGGCAAAUAAAUUUCCUCGUGCGGCGGUCAUAAAUGAAGAGCACGUACAUUCCGAUCAUCGUCCUCUAAUC
rnacentral:rRNA from 1 species